AACGCGAAGAACCUUACCUGGCCUUGACAUCCAGAGAACUUUCCAGAGAUGGAUUGGUGCCUUCGGGAACUCUGAGACAGGUGCUGCAUGGCUGUCGUCAGCUCGUGUUGUGAAAUGUUGGGUUAAGUCCCGCAACGAGCGCAACCCUUAUCCUUGUUUGCCAGCGAGUAAUGUCGGGAACUCCAGGGAGACUGCCGGUGAUAAACCGGAGGAAGGUGGGGACGACGUCAAGUCAUCAUGGCCCUUACGAGUAGGGCUACACACGUGCUACAAUGGCGCAUACAGAGGGCGGCCAACUUGCGAAAGUGAGCCAAUCCCUUAAAACGCGUCGUAGUCCGGAUCGGAGUCUGCAACUCGACUCCGUGAAGUCGGAAUCGCUGGUAAUCGCGAAUCAGAAUGUCGCGGUGAAUACGUUCCCGGGUCUUGUACACACCG
rnacentral:rRNA from 1 species